GCGGAGGUGACAUGGGACGCCUCCCAUGUUCACCUUCAGCGCUGUGCUGCGCCAGAAAGCCAGCGCAGACCGUCACCGCAGUGAGGUCCCGGUGCCAGGUCUGGCUCUCGACCCGAAACCUGCCCCUCAGCCUGCCCUGCCGGAAGCUGGGUCCGCGGUUUGUGGGGCCGUUUAAAGUCCUGGGGAGACUGAACGAGGUGUGUUACAGGUUACAGCUCCCACUCGAUUACCGUAUUAACCCCUCAAUCCAUGUAUGUCUCCUCAGGCCGGUGGUGGCUGGUCCGCUCCAGGGGUCUGAGGUGCGGGUGGUUCCUCUGCCCCCUCUGGACAUCGAGGGGGACCCGGCGUAUGCCGUUCGGUCCAUACUGGAUUCGAGGAAUCGGGCGAGGGGCCUUCAGUAACUCGUGGAGUGGGAGGGGUACGGUCCGGAGGAGAGAUGCUGGGUUCUGGUGGAGGUUGUGUUGGACAAUUCAAUCAUGCAGGAUUUCCACCGUCUCCGUCCGGAUCGCCCUGCACCUCGCCUUCCUGGUCGUCCCCGAGGCCGGUGUUGGCGUGCUGCUGGAGCCCCGCGUCAAGGGAGGGGGGUACUGUCACGACUUCCGCCGAAGUCGGUUCCUCUCCCUGUUCGGGCGGCGUUCAACGUCACCGGUCUUCUAGCAAUCGCCAAUCCACCUAUCAUUUUCCAUUUGUUUUGUCUUGUUUUCCCACACACCUGGUUUACAUUCCCUCAUUACUUGACGUGUAAAUAACCCUCUGUUCCCCCCAUGUCUGUGUGUGGAAUUGUUUGUUGUAAAGUGUAUGUGCACUUCAGACUGGUUUGCGAUGGAUUAUUUCAACCCAUAUUUUGUUGUUCUGGGAGCCAUUUGUUUUUUUCCUCAUUAAACUGCUUCGGUUAUUACCCAGUUCUGCUCUCCUGUGCCUGACUUCCCUGCAGCCCGUUACGCACCUCUUACAAGAUCAAUAUCUUAGGUUUUGUACCAUUGAUUUUUCCAAGCGCUGGGUUGCGCAGAACUUAGAACGCGCAGAACUUAGAACGCGGGGGUAAUGAAAUGCCCAGGAAAUGGCACAGAAAAUUUGGGCUGGUCUCUCCAUAAAAGUCAACCUAACCCUAACCCUAACCAAUACAUGGAUUUGACAGUCAAACUAUUACUUAAAUAGCAGUCAACUGUUGUUAUUCUAUAGAGGGUCGUGAUUCGUUUAGGUUAACUAACAAAAAAAGUGGUCUGGUCCCUUUUCUAUGAUGGAAGCCUCCCAAAAUCAACAUCCAACAUUCCAAAAUAUAGAUAUAAGCCUUCAAGUACUCAUCUAACCAACUACUUCAGGGUCAGCCUGGCCCCUUGUCGCCCCCUUGUCGCCCUGAAAUCCAACCCCCAUAAGAAGAAGCCCAAAUACGACCUGCCCUUGCCCAGUAUACAUACAAGGUCAGGGGGACAACACUGGUUUUUCGUCUUGUAGUUAAACUUGUUUUAUACACAAUUUAAAGGGAUAGUUCAUCCCAAUUACAAAAUUACUUAAGUUGAGAUCUGGUUCAUAACAUAUUUUUUGGUCCCGUUCAGAUCACAGCCAUGUGUGGGCGUCAGGCUUGUAAGAGACAUGAAUUAUAUGUGAGAUUCAGUGAACAAGGCUGGAAGGAUUGGGUAUUGACUCCUACCUGUUAGUCUGCCUUCUACUGUGAUGGAGAAUGCCUCUACCCUCUGUGUUCCUGCAUGAACUCCACCACCCACACUAUGAUCCAACUAGUGGUUCACCUUCUGAAGCCAGAUGCGGUACCCAAAGCGUGCUGCGCACCCACCAAGCUCAGUCCCAUCUCUGUACUCUUCUACGCUGACAACAACAACGUGAUCCUAAAGAAGCAUCGCAACACGGUGGUCAAGACCUGUGAUGCCUGUGACACCAGUGGCAGCCCAUCUAUCUAUUCUACUUAAUUUUAAUCAACUUAAUUGCCAUUGUUCCAAAAGAUACAAACAGGGUAAAAUAACUUGCAACCAGCAGUUGAUAGCAAUAAUCUGUCAAUAUGCUGAUAAAUAGUAUGUAUCUAAUAUAUUGAUUUUGAGUCUGAGAGUGGUAUAUGAACAACACCCAUUGGACCUAUAACCAUACUUCACUUUUGAUUAACUAAACUAUUCAAAUCUACAGUAAUUCAGAUAAUUACAUCACCCCUUCAUGUCAUAUAUUCUGUGACCAAUCAAAGCUGUAAAGUACUGUAUCAUAAGUAUAUCAAUGCUAAAAUUCUACCCUUUUGAUGACUAUACUAUCUUGUUGAACCAUGAAUUUGUCAUUGUCUCUUUUAGAUGUACUAAACAUGGUUUGCAAAACA